rnacentral:rRNA from 1 species
GACGUUCCCUUGCGCAACAUAAUGAUAAGUGUGGCAUGCACUGGAAAUUUCAUAGCCUUGUGAUUUACAACGGAAUGCAUUGUGAUCACGUGGACAUCGCGACCAUCAUCGGCUAGGGUGAGAAAAAUAAAAUAAAUGGCAACAUGGUGAGCCACUAUGUUAAAAUAGAGUAUGCUCAUACAUCAGGAUAUUGAGUCAUAUUUAUUUGGUGAGCCAUAAUAUUUUGUCUCCCGUUGCAACGCACGGGCAUAUUUGCUAGUCUUACCAAAGUCACUAAACUACAACUCGCAAACGGCAGUCUAACAGGGGAGAUUCCACCAGAAUUAGGUCUUAUGCAGGAACUCUCUUAUCUUGAUCUUCAAUACAACCAAUUGACUGGUAAAUUUCCAGCUUCGCUCGGUAACUUGUCCAAAUUGUCUUACCUAAAUUUCCAAGUGAAUCACUUGUCCGGUCAAGUACCAUCAAUGCUUGGAACAAAUACAGUUUUGAAUAUUCUUGCUUUGGGAGACAACAAUUUAGAGGGGAAUCUAGAUUUCUUGUCAGCUCUUUCCAAGUGCAGACAACUCCAAUUCCUUGAUUUCGAAAAAAAUCGUUUUACAGGCACCAUCCCUGGCUAUGUGGGAAACUUCUCUUCACAUUUAAACUAUUUUGGUGCAGGUGCCAACCAGUUGAUGCCUUCCAGUAGCAAUUUCAAAUAUAAGCAACCUUCUAUGAAUUGAUUUUCGGGAUAACCUAUUCACCGAGCCAAAUCCAGAAUCUAUCACUACGCUGGAAAAUCUUGCAUGGCUUGAUCUCUCCUGGAAUAACAUGCCAGGCCCUAUCCCUACACAAAUGGGUAUGCUUCGAAGUCUAGAACGAUUGUUUCUCCAAGCCAACAAAUUAUCAGGCUCCAUACCAAGAAACUUUGGUAAUCUUAGCUGGUUAGAAAGCUUAGACUUGUCAUAUAACCAGUUAAGCUCAACGAUACCGACGAGUUUCUUCCACCUGGAUAAACUUAUCACACUUGAUCUUUCACACAAUUCCUUUACUGGUGAAGUACCGGUAGAUGUUACUGGUCUAAGACAAACCUAUCAAACUUUGGUAAUCUUAGCUGGUUAGAAAGCUUAGACUUGUCAUAUAACCAGUUAAGCUCAACGAUACCAACGAGUUUCUUCCACCUGGAUAAACUUAUCACACUUGAUCUUUCACACAAUUCCUUUACUGGUGAAGUACCGGUAGAUGUUACUGGUCUAAGACAAACCUAUCAAAUAGACAUAUCUUCUAACUUGUUGAUAGGAAGCAUACCAAAAACAUUUGGACAACUUAGUAUGCUUACCUACCUAAAUCUAUCACAUAACUCUUUCAAAGGCUCAAUUCCAGUUCAACUCGAAAAAGUAAAAAGCCUAGCAUCAUUGGACCUCUCGUUUAACAAUCUCUCUGGUACCAUUCCAAUGUUCCUUGCUAACUUGACGUACUUGAAUACCUUGAACCUAUCAUUCAAUAGGCUAGAAGGACAAAUACCCGAGGGAGGUGUUUUCUCAAACCUCACAUUGAAAUCUUUGGUUGGGAACCCUGGACUAUGCGGCGCUCCGCGGCUAAGAUUUCCACCAUGCCUUGAUAGAAAUCGUUCAAGUAAAAGCCACUUGCUUCCAUUUCUACUGCCAACCCUCAUAUUAGCUUUUGGCGCCAUUGCCAUUUACGUAUACCUAUGGUUCAGAAAGAAACUUAAGAAGGGAAAGGACAAUGUUUCUGUUGAUCCAACUGAUGCCAUAGGCCAUCAGAUAGUCUCCUAUCAUGAGCUUGUUCGUGUCACCAAUAAUUUCCAUGAUGAAAACAUCUUGGGAUCCGAAAGCUUUGGAAAAGUCUUUAAGGGCCAACUGAGCAGUGGUUUGGUGGUUGCGAUAAAAGUUCUUGACAUGCAACUAGAGCAGGCCAUCCAAAGCUUUGAUGCGGAGUGUCGAGUGCUUCGUAUGGCACGACACCGCAACCUGAUAAGGAUACUUAACACAUGUUCCAACCUUGACUUCAGAGCCCUGGUGCUUCAAUACAUGCCAAAUGGUAGCUUAGAGAUGCUCCUUCAUGGAUCACAAAGCACAACAACGCGCUUGGGAUUCAUUGAGAGGCUGGGCAUCAUGCUUGAUGUUUCGAUGGCAAUGUCUUAUCUACACCAUGAGCACUAUGAGCUGAUCUUGCAUCGUGACUUGAAGCCUAGCAAUGUGUUGUUUGACGAGGACAUGACGGCGCAUGUGGCAGACUUUGGCAUUGCAAAGUUGGUUCUAGAUGACAACUCCAUGAUAAGUGCGAGCAUGCCUAGAACAAUUGGGUACAUGGCACCAGAGUAUGGGUCACUUGGAAAAGCAUCGCGGAAGAGCGACGUCUUCAGCUAUGGGAUCAUGCUCCUUGAACUCUUCACUGGAAAGCGACCCACUGCCACUAUGUUUGGCGCACAAUUAACGCUCAGGCGGUGGGUUCAUGAGGCAUAUCCUGCAGAGCUUGUCAAGGUCGUCGAUGGACAGCUAUUACAUGGCUCCUCUCUUUCUAGCUGCAUCUUGGACGAUGGCUUUCUUGCUUCAAUAUUUGAGUUGGGUUUGAUUUGUUCUAGCGACUCUCCAGACCAGCGAAUGACGAUGCACGAUGUGGUCGUGACGCUGAAGAAGGUCAAAGCUGAGUACACUAAACAGACAACAAAAACAUGACGUGGCACAACGGAAUUAUCGUUCUCCCUUGUUGCUUGCUAUAACUAUAUACAGAUGUAUCUGUUCUCAUUUUGUCACUUACUGCAGCACAUGCCUUUUGGGUCGUAUUAUACACUUGACACAUAUAGCUAGUUCGAGUGCAUAUGUAUACAGGAUGAAUUCUACCUGUAUAAGUAUAGCUAAUUCGACAUACAUAAAUAUACAUGAUGUCUUAAUUCCAUAAUAAAU